UAUCCCCCACACUGGUACUGAGACACGGACCAGACUCCUACGGGAGGCAGCAGUAAGGAAUAUUGGGCAAUGGACGNCAGUCUGACCCAGCCAUGCCGCGUGCAGGAUGACGGCCUUAUGGGUUGUAAACUGCUUUUGUAUGGGAUUAAAGUGUUGUACGUGUACGACAUUGCAAGUACCAUACGAAUAAGCAUCGGCUAACUCCGUGCCAGCAGCCGCGGUAAUACGGAGGAUGCAAGCGUUAUCCGGAAUCAUUGGGUUUAAAGGGUGCGUAGGUUGAUUAUUAAGUCAGUGGUGAAAAUUCCGGGCUCAACCCGGGACUUGCCGUUGAAACUGAUAAUCUUGAGUGUAACUGAUGUGGGCGGAAUGUGUCAAGUAGCGGUGAAAUGCAUAGAUAUGACACAGAACACCGAUAGCGAAGGCAGCUCACAAAAUUACAACUGACACUGAGGCACGAAAGCGUGGGUAUCAAACAGGAUUAGAUACCCUGGUAGUCCACGCUGUAAACGAUGAUCACUAGCUGUUUGCGAUACAUUGUAAGUGGUUAAGCGAAAGCGAUAAGUGAUCCACCUGGGGAGUACGUCGG
rnacentral:rRNA from 1 species